CUAAAAGUCACUUAGAUAUACCCUAUGCAGGUAAAUAAUUACUCUAAAACUAUCCUUACCUUUUUGUGUCACUAUACCCCACUCCCUCUAGCAUGUAAGCUCAUUGAGCAGGGCCCUCAACCCCUCUGUUCCUGUGUGUCCAACUUGUCUGGUUACAAAUACAUGUCUGUUCGUCCACACAUUGUAAAGCACUGCGGAAUUUGACAGCGCUAUAUAAAUAUCAUAAUAAUAAUAGAAUAUAAGAGUGGUUAGUAGUGCCUGGCACCAUCACCUGGUGAUCUGUUAAAGCAUUUACCAAUAUCUUCACACUUACCUUGCAGUUAGUAAUGGUUAUGUUGUCUACAUUGUCCCUUUAAUGAGGAAAAACACUUUACAUUUAUGAUGUUAAUACACAUGGCGACAGUGUCUUACUAAAAGCACUCACCGUGACUCCUAUUAAAUGUACACCCACUAGGUACACAUUGCAGGAGGCCCCCUGGUACAAUACCUGAAGAGCUAUUUUCUCUCACACACAACAUUGCAAACAGCACAAGGGACGUCAAUACAAGAUUUCUCUAUCGUAAAAAACAAACAUAAAUAACGGCUUCCGAGCUCGUGACCGACCAGAGCUCACUGGGAUUUCACACAACGCGAGGAAACCGUACGGCACCCCCUGAACCUUCACCGGCAAAGCUGCGCCGAGCACACCUGAACAGGCAGCUCACAG